UCCGACUGUUUAACAAAAACAUAACCUUUAGCCUAAACAAGUAUUAAAGGCAACGCCUGCCCAGUGAAUAAUUAAACGGCCGCGGUACCCUAACCGUGCAAAGGUAGCGUAAUCACUUGUCUAUUAAUUGUAGACCCGUAUGAAAGGCAAAAUGAGGGCCUAACUGUCUCUUAUAAUAAAUCAAUUAAACUGAUCUCCCAGUACAAAAGCUGGAAUUCUAACAUAAGACCAGAAGACCCUGUGAAGCUUAAACUAAACUAUUAAAACACAUAAUAGCUCCUUUCGGUUGGGGCGACCUUGGAAAAAAAAAGAACUUCCAAUAGGCCUACAAGCCGAAAUUAGACCCAGUAUAACUGAUAAUUGAACCAAGUUACUCCAGGGAUAACAGCGCUAUCUUCCUCAAGAGCCCAUAUCAAAAGGAAGGUUUACGACCUCGAUGUUGGAUCAGGACAUCCUAAUGGUGCAGCCGCUAUUAAGGGUUCGUUUGUUCAACGAUUAACAGUCCYACGUGAUCUGAGUUCAGACCGGAGA
rnacentral:rRNA from 1 species